GAGAGAGAUGCCUCUGAAUGUACAACUAAUCAGAAUGACUUCAAACAAGCAAAUGAGAAUACCACUUCAACCGAAAGUUCAUAGGUACAUAUAUGAUAUCAAACUGAAUCCACAGAGAGAGAGAGAGAGAGAGAGAUUGCCUCUGUACAACUAAUCAGAGUGACUUCAAACAAGCAAAUGAGAAUAUCACUUCAACCGAAAGUUCAUAGAUACACGUAAUUCGAUUCCAUUGCUGAGAUAGAGGAGUUCAGUCCCUUGUACUGUUCUUGAUCCAUUCGAGGUAUGGGAUGCUGCCUCCAAUUAUUGGGAUGGCGAUUACUUCAGG
rnacentral:lncRNA from 1 species